rnacentral:rRNA from 1 species
GACGAACGCUGGCGGCGUGCUUAACACAUGCAAGUCGAACGAAGUGGCGAACGGGUGAGUAACGAGUAAUCAACCUGCCCUUCAGAGGGGGACAACAGUGGGAAACGACUGCUCAUACCGCAUACUGAAGGAGGGGAUUGCGUCUGAUUCGCGAGUUGGAGGGGUAACGGCCCACCAAGGGGAUGACAAGUAGCCGGUCUGAGAGGAGUAACGGCAACAUUGGGACUGGGAAACGGCCCAGACUGCUACGGGAGGCAGCAGUGGGGAAUCUUCCGCAAUGGACGAAAGUCUGACGGAGCAACGCCGCGUGAGUGAUGACGGCCUUCGGGUUGUAAAGCUCUGUUAAUCGGGACGCGGUACCGGAAUAGAAAGCCACGGCUAACUACGUGCCAGCAGCCGCGGUAAUUC